UUGUGUCAUCUUUUAAUUAAUCCAACACAUGGGGUGGGCCAUGAACCCUUGACCAAGUCUUGCUAGCAUAAAAGAUGACUACUAGUAUUCUUUUGCUUCAUUUUUUUAACACUUAGAAAAAAGGGUGAAGAACACCACACAAAAGAAGGCUCACGGCCACAACCCAAAAAAAAAAUCCACCUCCAUUUCUUGUCCUUCUAAAAUUAUUUUGAUGAUGAAAACCUAUUAUAUUGAGGUCCCUAAGUAGCGUGGAAGCAUCGUUGGAGCGAUCAACCCAUUGUUUUUCAUCUUUUGGAAACCUUAGCCUAUUGGAAGUUGAAGAGAAAAAGAUCGUGGGCAGCCCGAAUCAUAGUUUGGACUUAGCUUGAGUUGGAUCAUAUUGGAGAGCGUUUGAGGUACGGACGCACAGCCUGGUGAUCCACCUGUUUAGGACACCCCCUUCUGCUAUUCGGAGUGCUCCUCACAUUCCGGAGCCUAUAUUUUUGGUAUAUAAUUGUUAGUGCAUUUGUAUAUAUUCGUUCAUGGGUAUGGCGGGGCCCUGUCCCGUCCUAUGAUUCUGUCUGUCUGUUUAGAGGUCUGUGGACAUGGUUGUGGGUUGUGCCUACCUCAGUUUAGUUGUGUUUGUAUACGUUGUGUUUGGGCGACCCUAUU